UGGCUCAGGACGAACGCUGGCGGCGUGCUUAACACAUGCAAGUCGAACGGAAAGGCCCCCUUGUGGGGUACUCGAGUGGCGAACGGGUGAGUAACACGUGAGUAACCUACCCUUGACUUUGGGAUAACUUCAGGAAACUGGGGCUAAUACCGGAUAGGGAGCUCCUGCUGCAUGGUGGGGGUUGGAAAGUUUCGGCGGUUGGGGAUGGACUCGCGGCUUAUCAGCUUGUUGGUGGGGUAGUGGCUCACCAAGGCUUUGACGGGUAGCCGGCCUGAGAGGGUGACCGGCCACAUUGGGACUGAGAUACGGCCCAGACUCCUACGGGAGGCAGCAGUGGGGAAUAUUGCACAAUGGGCGGAAGCCUGAUGCAGCAACGCCGCGUGCGGGAUGACGGCCUUCGGGUUGUAAACCGCUUUCGCCUGUGACGAAGCGUGAGUGACGGUAAUGGGUAAAGAAGCACCGGCUAACUACGUG
rnacentral:rRNA from 1 species